rnacentral:rRNA from 1 species
GACGGAAGGUGCAAGCGUUGCUCGGAAUCACUGGGCGUAAAGGGUGCGUAGGCGGUCGGGUAAGUCUGACGUGAAAUCUCCAAGCUCAACUUGGAAAUGGCAUCGGAUACUAUUCGGCUCGAGGAAUGGAGGGGAGACUGGAAUACUUGGUGUAGCAGUGAAAUGCGUAGAUAUCAAGUGGAACACCAGUGGCGAAGGCGAGUCUCUGGACAUUUCCUGACGCUGAGGCACGAAAGCCAGGGGAGCAAACGGG